rnacentral:rRNA from 1 species
AACGUAGGGGGCAAGCGUUGUCCGGAAUUACUGGGCGUAAAGGGCGUGUAGGCGGCUGGUCAAGUCAAUAGUGAAACCCGAUGGCUCAACCAUCGGCUUGCUGUCGAAACUGACUGGCUUGAGUGCAGGAGAGGAGAGUGGAAUUCCCAGUGUAGCGGUGAAAUGCGUAGAUACUGGGAGGAACACCAGUGGCGAAGGCGGCUCUCUGGCCUGCAACUGACGCUGAGGCGCGAAAGCGUGGGUAGCGAACAGGAUUAGAUACC